rnacentral:rRNA from 1 species
CCUACGGGUGGCAGCAGUGGGGAAUAUUGCACAAUGGGGGAAACCCUGAUGCAGCGACGCCGCGUGAGCGAAGAAGUAUUUCGGUAUGUAAAGCUCUAUCAGCAGGGAAGAAGAUGACGGUACCUGAGUAAGAAGCACCGGCUAAAUACGUGCGAGCAGCCGCGGUAAUACGUAUGGCGCAAGCGUUCUCCGGAUUUACUGGGCGUAAAGUGAGCGUAGGCGGCCGGCCAAGUCUGAUGUGAAAUACCGGGGCUCAACCCCGGGGCUGCAUUGGAUACUGGCAGGCUGGAGUGCCGGAGAGGCGGGCAGAAUUCCUAGUGUAGCGGUGAAAUGCGUAGAUAUGAGGAGGAACACCAGUGGCGAAGGCGGCCUGCUGGACGGAGACUGACGCUGAGGCUCGAAAGCGUGGGGAGCAAACAGGAUUAGAUACCCCUGUAGUC